GCGAAAGUGGCGGAAUUGGUAGACGCACUGGAUUUAGGUUCCAGCGCCGCAAGGCGUGCAGGUUCGAUUCCUGUCUUUCGCACCA
rnacentral:tRNA from 3 species